rnacentral:tRNA from 1 species
AGGGGUGUAGCCAAGCGGCAAGGCACGAGGCUUUGACCCUCGUAUCGUCGGUUCGAAUCCGGCCACCCCUGCCA